UUUCACUUUAAGCAGCUUAUGAGUGUCUUCUCUCUGUUUAUUUUCUACAAUGGCCUCUUCCAUUAUUCUCUCUAUGUUUUCUUACUUGUUAACUAUCUCAUUCCCUUUGCAAGUUGAACCCAAAAAACCCGACUCGAAAUCUCAGUCCCAAAUCAUUGUCAUGGGCAUGGUAUAUUGUGACUUCUGCUCCAACAACACCUUCUCCAAGCACAGCUACUUCUUGCCGGGUAAGGAAGAUUGAACAGUACUCGUACUUUACCGUAUAAUAGUUUUAUUAUAAAAUCAUAACUCUUUGUCAUUUUUUAUUGGAUCUAACCAGGAGUAGAAGUUAGAAUAGAUUGCAUAUUCAUAGCAAUUUCUUCAAGAACAACAGAACGGAUAUCAUUUUCGGUGAACAGAACUACAAAUAAGUUUGGAAUAUACAUAUUUGAAGUGCCUAGUGUUGAUGGUGUUCAAUGUGCCAGAGACAAAGCAGUUGGGAAUUCCUGCAGAGCCAGCUUAACAGGGAUAAGACCAUCUUCUUCUUCCUGUAAUAUUCCAGGAUUUAGGACUACAUCGGAUGAAAUUUCAAUCAAAUCCAAACGAGAAAACACUUGCAUUUAUAGUCUCAGUCCAUUGAGUUACAGACCAUCCAAGAGAGAGAUUGACUUGUGUGGAAAAUAAAGAACCAACAUUCUUGGAUCUACACGUCUUGUUCUCAUCUCUUUGAGGCAAUCAUUGAGACAUCUACAGGAUACUUGAACAAUAUUAAAGAAGUUAAAUAUUCUUGUUUGCUGUCUUGUAUGGUGGUGUCUAGUACAUCGUUCUAUGUUUCUCAAGAAUUUAUGUAAUCUGUAUUUGGUUUUUGGCAUAUGGUUCAUUUAUAUGUACCUCAAGAAAGAUUAUAAGGGUUUUAAUUAGGCAAAAUGUAUGCAGAUAAUUUUGGAUGCUAAAAAU
rnacentral:lncRNA from 1 species